AAANUCAAAAGNAUNACGGGGNCCCCCAANGGGUGGAGCAUUNGGUUUAAUUCGAAGCAACGCGAAGAACCUUACCAGGUCUUGACAUCCCUCUGACCGCUCUAGAGAUAGAGUUUUUCUUCGGGACAGAGGUGACAGGUGGUGCAUGGUUGUCGUCAGCUCGUGUCGUGAGAUGUNGGGUUAAGUCCCGCAACGAGCGCAACCCCUAUUGUUAGUUGCCAUCAUUGAGUUGGGCANUCUAGCGAGACUGCCGGUAAUAAACCGGAGGAAGGUGGGGAUGACGUCAAAUCAUCAUGCCCCUUAUGACCUGGGCUACACACGUGCUACAAUGGCUGGUACAACGAGUCGCAAGCCGGUGACGGCAAGCUAAUCUCUGAAAGCCAGUCUCAGUUCGGAUUGUAGGCUGCAACUCGCCUACAUGAAGUCGGAAUCGCUAGUAAUCGCGGAUCAGCACGCCGCGGUGAAUACGUUCCCGGGCCUUGUACACACCGCCCGUCACACCACGAGAGUUUGUAACANCCGAAGUCGGUGCAGGUANGCCNUNAGGAA
rnacentral:rRNA from 1 species